ACGGUUUAAACCGAGCCAGCAGCUCAGUACCAUGCAGCUGUUUGCUCACACCCUCCCCUUUACCCCCGUCCUGGGUGGGAUGGGAGAAUUGGAAGAAUGUAAAACCCACAGGUUGUGUCAGGUGUGCUGUCUCUGCUCCCUCCCAGCUUCUCAUGUUCCCCCCUCACUGGCAGAACAUGAGAAACUGAAAAGUCCAUGAUCAGGGUAAGCAUUAUUUAUCAACAACUAAAACCUUGGUCAUUAUCCAGCAUUAUUCUCAAACUAAAGCCAAAACACAGCACUGCACCAGCUACUAGGAAGAAAAUUAACUCUAUCCCAGCUGAAACCGGGAGAGUAAGAAAGCAAGACUUCAACAUUAAACUGUCCUGUCUCCAUCCAAGCCAGGUAGCGCAGGAUUACUGCCUGUUUCUUGCAUUCCUACAAUACUUA